rnacentral:rRNA from 1 species
GACGAAGGGGGCUAGCGUUGUUCGGAACUACUGGGCGUAAAGCGCGUGUAGGCGGUUGUUCAAGUCGGGUGUGAAAGCCUUGAGCUCAACUCAAGAAAUGCACUCGAUACUGGAUGACUUGAGGACCGGAGAGGAUAGUGGAAUUCCCAGUGUAGUGGUGAAAUACGUAGAGAUUGGGAAGAACACCAGUGGCGAAGGCGGCUAUCUGGACGGUUUCUGACGCUAAGACGCGAAAGCGUGGGGAGCAAACAGG